AUGCGAGUCAACGUAGCAAUACGUGGCAUACGGCUCAGUAACACGUAGUCAACAUGCCCAGGGGACGUGGAUAACCUCGGGAAACUGAGGAUAAACCGCGAUAGGUCAUAAUGUCUGGAAUGAUUUAUGGCUAAAAUCUACAUGGCCCCUGGAUUGGACUGCGGCCGAUCAGGCUGUUGGUGAGGUAAUGGCCCACCAAACCUAAAACCGGUACGGGCUCUGAGAGGAGAAGCCCGGAGAUGGGCACUGAGACAAGGGCCCAGGCCCUAUGGGGCGCAGCAGGCGCGAAAACUCUGCAAUAAGCGAAAGCUUGACAGGGUUAUUCUGAGUGAUUUCCGCUAAGGAGAUCUUUUGGCACCUCUAAAAAUGGUGCAGAAUAAGGGGUGGGCAAGCCUGGUGUCAGCCGCCGCGGUAAUACCAGCACCCCGAGUGGUCGGGACGAUUAUUGGGCCUAAAGCAUCCGUAGCCGGUUCUACAAGUCUUCCGUUAAAUCCACCUGCUUAACAGUUGGGCUGCAGAGGAUACUAUAGAGCUAGGAGGCGGGAGAGGCAAGCGGUACUUAGUGGGUAGGGGUAAAAUCCGUUGAUCCACUGAAGACCACCAGUGGCGAAGGCGGCUUGCCAGAACGCGCUCGACGGUGAGGGAUGAAAGCUGGGGGAGCAAACCGGAUUAGAUACCCGGGUAGUCCCAGCUGUAAACGAUGCAGACUCGGUGAUGAAUAGGCUUAGUGCCUAUUCAGUGCCGCAGGGAAGCCGUUAAGUCUGCCGCCUGGGGAGUACGGUCGCAAGACUGAAACUUAAAGGAAUUGGCGGGGGAGCACCACAAGGGGUGAAGCCUGCGGUUCAAUUGGAGUCAACGCCGGGAAGGGCGAAUU
rnacentral:rRNA from 1 species